rnacentral:rRNA from 1 species
GACGAACGCUGGCGGCGCGCUUAACACAUGCAAGUCGAGCGAGAACCAGGCUUUCGGGCCUGGGGAAAGCGGCGAACGGGUGAGUAACACGUGGGUAAUCUGCCCUCGGCACCGGAAUAGCCCGGGGAAACCCGGAUUAAUGCCGGAUAGCCUCUCGAGCCCUCGGGCUCGUGAGAAAAGGUAGCUUCGGCCUCUGGCCGAGGAGGAGCCCGCGGCGAGAUUAGCUUGUUGGUGGGGUAACGGCUCACCAAGGCGACGAUCCGUAGCUGGUCUGAAAGAACGAACAGCCACACUGGGACUGAGACACGGCCCAGACUCCUACGGGAGGCAGCAGUGGGGAAUCUUGCGCAAUGGGCGAAAGCCUGACGCAGCGACGCCGCGUGCGGGAAGAAGGCCUUCGGGUUGUAAACCGCUUUCAGGAGGGACGAAGCCACUCGGGUUAAUAGCCCAGAGGGUGACGGUACCUCCAGAAGAAGCCCCGGCUAACUACGUGCCAGCAGCCGCGGUAAAAC